CCUACGGGUGGCUGCAGUGGGGAAUAUUGCGCAAUGGGCGAAAGCCUGACGCAGCGACGCCGCGUGAGGGAUGAAGGUCUUCGGAUCGUAAACCUCUGUCAGCAGGGAAGAACGGUCACUGGGCUAAUCAGCAGUGAAUGGACGGUACCUGCAAAGGAAGCACCGGCGAACUCCGUGCCAGCAGCCGCGGUAAUACGGAGGGUGCGAGCGUUAAUGGGAAUUACGGGGCGUAACGCGCGCGUAGGCGGUAGGUCAAGUCAAGGGGGAAAUCCCCGCGCUCAACGUGGGAACUGCCUUUGAAACUUCCAACCUGGCGUGUGUGAGCGGCUAGUGGAAUUC
rnacentral:rRNA from 1 species